rnacentral:rRNA from 1 species
UACGGAGGGUGCAAGCGUUGUCCGGAUUUAUUGGGUUUAAAGGGUGCGUAGGCGGACCAGUAAGUCAGUGGUGAAAUCUCUUUGCUUAACAAAGAAACUGCCAUUGAUACUGCUAGUCUAGAGUAUAGAUGACGUUGGCGGAAUAUGACAUGUAGUGGUGAAAUACUUAGAUAUGUCAUAGAACACCGAUUGCGAAGGCAGCUAACGAAACUAUAACUGACGCUGAGGCACGAAAGUGCGGGGAUCAAACAGG